ensembl:lncRNA
GGGUCCUAUGGGGUUCUAUGGGGUCUUUAUGGGGUCCUUAUGGGGCUCUAUGGGGUCCUUAUGGGGUCCUAUGGGGGCUUAAAGGGGUUCUAUGGGGGUCCUAUGGGGUCUUUAUGGGGUCCUAUGGGGCUCUAUGGGGUCCUAUAGGGUCCUUAUGGGGUCCCUAUGGGGUUCUAUGGGGUCCUUAUGAGGCUCUGUGGGGCUCUAUGGGGUCUUUAUGGGGUCCCAUGGGGUCUUAUGGGGGUUUUAUGGGGUCCUAUGGGGGCUUAAAGGGGUCCUAUGGGGCUCUAUGGGGUCCUAUGGGGUCCUUAUGGGGUUUUAUGGGGUCCAAUGGGGUCCUAUGGGGCUCUAUGAGGUCUUAUGGGGUUCUAUGGGGUCCUUAUGGGGUUCUUAUGGGGUCUUUAUGGGGUCCUAUGGGGUUCUAAUGGAUCCUUAUGAGGCUCUGUGGGGCUCUACGGGGUCCUUAUGGGGUCCUAUGGGGUCUUAUGGGGUCCUACGGGGUCCUAUGGGGGCUUAACAGGGUCCUAUGGGGUCCUUAUGGGGCUCUAUGGGGUUCUAUGGAGACUUAAAGGGGUCCUAUGGGGCUCUAUGGGGUCCCUUUGGGGUUCUUAUGGGGUCCCUAUGGGGUCUUUAUGGGGUCCUAUG